CUUGGUCAUUUAGAGGAAGUAAAAGUCGUAACAAGGUUUCCGUAGGUGAACCUGCGGAAGGAUCAUUAAUGGAUUGUAAUGGGGGUUGAUGCUGGUGGCCAUUUCUUUGGCUGCAUUGUGCUCACUUCUAGCAAUUAUUUGUCCAAACACUUGUGCACCUUUCGAGGGUUUUCCAAUCUUGGAUUUCCCUCUCACAUACACUCAUUUAUAAUAUUGAACGUGUUUGUGCCAUGCAGUGGCCAUAAUAUAUAAUACAACUUUUAACAACGGAUCUCUUGGCUCUCGCAUCGAUGAAGAACGCAGCGAAAUGCGAUAAGUAAUGUGAAUUGCAGAAUUCAGUGAAUCAUCGAAUCUUUGAACGCACCUUGCGCUCCCCGGUAUUCCAGGGAGCACACCUGUUCGAGUGUCGUGAAAUUCUCAAGCUGGAUGAUUUUUUCAUCUCAGUUUGGUUUUGGGCUUUGCCGUGACCCCCUUCAUUGGGACGGCUGGCCUUAAAAAUAUUAGCUGACUCUCAUGUGAGAUUGGUUCUACUCAGCGUGAUAACUCUGACCGCUGAGGACAUCUUUUAUUGGAUGGCCGAGCUCUAUGUUGGGUUGCUUCUAAUCCUGGUUUUUACAGAUUUUCGGAUCUGUUUUCCACUCACGAUUUUGGCCUCGAAUCAGGUGGGACUACCCGCUGAACUUAAGCAUAUCAAUAAGCGGAGGAAAAGAAACUAACAAGGAUUCCCCUAGUAACGGCGAGUGAAGCGGGAAAAGCUCAAAUUUUAAAUCUGGCAGCCUUUGGUUGUCCGAAUUGUAAUCUAGAGAAGUGUUUUCCGUGCUGGACUGUGUACAAGUUUCCUGGAUACGGAACAUCAUAGAGGGUGAGAAUCCCGUCCUUGACACAGGUUCCCAGUGCUAUGUGAUGCGCUCUCAACGAGUCGAGUUGUUUGGGAUUGCAGCUCAAAAUGGGAGGUAAAUUCCUUCUAAAGCUAAAUAUUGGCGAGAGACCGAUAGCGAACAAGUACCGUGAGGGAAGAUGAAAAGAAUCG
rnacentral:rRNA from 1 species